rnacentral:rRNA from 1 species
GUAGGUGGCAAGCGUUGUCCGGAAUUAUUGGGCGUAAAGCGCGCGCAGGGCGGUCCUUUAAGUCUGAUGUGAAAGCCCACGGCUCAACCGUGGAGGGUCAUUGGAAACUGGGGGACUUGAGUACAGAAGAGGAAAGCGGAAUUCCAAAUGUAGCGGUGAAAUGCGUAGAGAUUUGGAGGAACACCAGUGGCGAAGGCGGCUUUCUGGUCUGUAACUGACGCUGAGGCGCGAAAGCGUGGGGAGCAAACAGGAUUAGAUACCCUGGUAGUCCACGCCGUAAACGAUGAGUGCUAAGUGUUAGGGGGUUUCCGCCCCUUAGUGCUGCAGCUAACGCAUUAAGCACUCCGCCUGGGGAGUACGGCCGCAAGGCUG